rnacentral:misc_RNA from 1 species
CGCACGCAAAACUUACAUGCACACUUUAGCACGCAAGCCCUGAUCACUGCCACGCGAGCCUUUCCGAACACUGACUGACCCCCCCCCCUCCCCAACUCCCUCAGCGCCGUGCACCGUCACACACAUUCACGCCUCUGUUUCAGCAGGCACACGCUUUCCGCUCACGGAGCUGACCCGGCUAACCUCUCGCGCUUCACAUACCCGCACCACCAUGGCCAGCAAGGAACCAAACCCCUUCCAUAUGCACAAUUCGGAGCCUGCACGGCGUCAGGGCCACGGGGAGCCGAUGGACCUACGCUCCGAGCUUGACAUGGAAGUAGCGCAGGGAUACGACGCGAAAUGCGUGCGGGGGGUGGAGGACGUCUCCUCCGCCGAGGCGCCGGACCCAUACGACUUCUCGCGGUACGACCCGAGGCGCCAGAUCGAGUUGCAGGACAAGAUCCGCGCUGAUCGCGUGGCCCGCCGCCUCGUCCCCGCGAAUGUGUUCCAGAAGUACUUCGACUACUUGGUGCCCUACGGCGGCCUGGUUUCCACGGGCCUCAACCUGGCCAGCUCCUCCAUUGGUGCCGGCAUUAUUGCGCUGCCCUACGCCUUCAACGCCUCUGGUCUUGUUAUGGCCAUCAUCUACAUGUUCAUGAUUGCCUACCUCACCAUCUACUCCUACUACCUGCUGGGCCAGGCGGGCACCAAGACUGGUCUGCGCAACUACGAGCAGAUCGUACGCACGCUCCUCGGCCCUGGCGCGGACUACUUCCUCGCCUUCUGCAUGUGGUUUCUCAGUUUUGGCGGGGAGGUGUCGUACGUCAUCUCCGUGAAGGAUGUGCUGACGGCCUUCCUCGAGGACGCGGACAACACGCCGGCGUUCUUGCUGAACAUCUGGGGCCAGCGCCUCCUCACCUUCCUCGUGUGGCUCGUGGCCAUGCUGCCGCUGUGCCUGCCGAAGGAGAUCAACUCGCUGCGCUACUUCUCCUGCGUCGCGAUUGUGUUCAUAGUGUAUUUUGUGAUUGCGAUGGUAGUGCACAGCGCGCAGAACGGCCUGCGCGCGGAUCCGCGCCCGGAGAUCAGGAUGUUCACGACGGGCAACACCGCCGUUUCUGGGAUGUCCACGUUCAUCUUCGCCUUCCUGUCGCAGCUGAACGCGUAUGAAAGUUAUGAAGAAAUGAGCAACCCCACGCCGCUGCGCCUGACACUGGGUGCCACCAUCGCCGUCGGUAUCGUGUUUGUGUUGUACUUCCUCUCCGGCCUCUUUGGCUACCUUGACUUCGGCGCCGAGAUGACCGGCUCCGCGCUGAAGAAGUACAAUCCGGUGAAGGACGUCAUGAUGGGCGUCGGAUACGUGGGUAUCCUGUUCAAGCUGUGCGUUGGGUUCGGUCUGCACAUGAUCCCGGUUCGUGAUGCCAUCUACCACUGCGUCCGCGUGGACGUGCACACGUUUGCGUGGUGGAAGAACGCGUGCGUGUGCGCCUUCAUGGCGCUGCUGUCGCUCGUGGCUGGUCUGUUCAUCCCGAGCAUCAACGUCGUCUUCGGCCUCGUUGGCGGCUUCUCUGGCGGCUUCAUCGGCUUUAUCUACCCCUCCUUCAUGGUCAUGUACUCCGGCAACUGGUCGCUGUCGUCGGUUGGGUGGUUCCACUACCUGUCCACGUACUUUUUGCUGAUUGUCGGCGUCGUUGGCGUCGUGUGGGGCACGGCCAGCUCCAUCUAUGGCGAGAUUUAACCUUUUUUUCUUUGUCAACGGUCAAUAGGCUAAUGGAGUAAAACCGUCGACGCUCGGUGGUAAAGAAGAUGUGGAGAGAAGUGCGUCGUGCCUUCUCAUCGAUUGCCGGCCGGGAGGGUUGUUUUGAAUGUCGCUCUCUCCCUUCUUUGUUGCUCCGUGCCAUGAGUUUAUCCUCAGCUAGCGUGGCUGUGCUCGUCGUUCUUGUUUGUUUUCUUACUUUUCAUUGUUUUCCUUCUCUGAACUCUCUCGGUGCUGCAGGGAGAGUCUCGUAUACCAGUCGCAGAGCCCAAUAGACGUCUGUAUGGACCCUCCCCCUGACUGUCUUCUGUCAUACCUGCGCGAGGCUGGUGUAUGCACGCGUGCGGUUUCGGUGCUGUCGGUUUUUUUUUGUACUAUGAUUUCUGUUUUCUUUUUGUUUUUCUUGUUUACGACGGAGCGCCUUUUUCUAUUGUGUUGCUCUGCGUUUGUUCUCUCUCUUACUUUCUCCACCGGGAUGUGGGAGACACGAAGCAUAACAAGUAUACCAUCGAUAAAGGAGAAAACGCGCUGCAAGGUGUUGUAAAAUGCCUGAGUAUCUAGCACUGCACUGGUCUGUUGGUAGUAACGAGUGACGGCGACUACCAUCGUGGUAUUGCAGACCUUAUUCCCCCUCCCCUCUUUCUAUUUUGCUUUGGUGAUCGAAGUGGUCGUGUCUGUGCUGUCACUGCCGAUCGGGCAUGUCGCCAUCGGACGUUGCUCACCUCCCUCCUCAUCUCUCAUUUCACUUUUUUUAUUUUUUUUUCCCCGUGUAUUUUGUUUCCGUUUUUUUUUUUCGCCCCACAGGUUCUGCGGGCGGCCUCUCUGUUACGUUCUACUUCGGGCCUCUUCCGCACGUCUUCACCUUUUUUUUUUUGUUUCUCCUUCCCGGGAUCAUGUCUCGACGGCCUCCUCGUCUGAGCGCGGUUGUGGGAUGUGUGGUGUACGUGUUGUCCACGAAGGUGCUUCGGCCAACAUCUUCGACGGGGAUGUCGACAUGCAUCGGCACAGCUCUGCUCAACAUAGCCGCCUACGGAGUGGGUGAAUGCGUAGAAGGCUUGUCUUCCUCCCCCACCAGACCUCAGUCGUGAGGAAAUCGACCGCUAUCGGGACGCCGCUGUUAACGACGGCCGUACAGAGUCGGUUUGUGCACGUUUCAGUGCAUGCUUAUGGAUGCGCGCGUGCACGCAACGUCUCUCCGCACGUGUCCCAAGUCGCCGAUGUGCGUCCCUGCAUUCAGGCGCGCACAGUCCAGCGUUUUUACGAUGAAGCGGCGAACUUCUGGAGGAGCAUCCGUGGGCUAUGCGGCACGCACCUUUCCUCAGACGCGCGAAGCGAUUCGAGACACAACUCUAUUGGACGCACUCCUAAGAGUGCGUCUGUGUUGUGGAUGGCGAGGUAGACGCAAGCGAAGACAGCAGCUGCGGAAGUCUUGUUGUUUACUCCUAAUCCGCGCUUUCUGCUGUUGCUGCGUCCCACCCAGUCCCCAUCGACGGUAUCCGUGAGCAUGUGCACGACGGCUUUGUUGGGCGUCACCUCUGACACAGCCCACCUGCGCGUACAUGCUGCUGUUUUUUUUCUUUUCUGGAAUGCAGCCUAAAAAGGAGCGAGAACAGAAGGUGAACGUGUCUUCAGCUUCAAGACGUUCGUUAAGCCGCCGGUGAGAGCGACAUCACCUGGGUGCAUAGGUUUUCGCGCUGCCGAUUCGGUGCCCCACGAAGCCUUGCCAGGUGUUUGUGUGCGCGAACGUUUGCGAGCUCACGCCUUCUCGUCCCUACGGUGAGCUUGUGGUGAUGCCCUUGUGGGGUGGGCUGUAUUUAUAUACAUUCAUGCGUGUAUCGUGGUGUAGCGAUGGGAAACGCUCCUUUUUUUUGUUUGUAUUCUGUCCUCUCGUGUGUCGGUUCUGGGAACAGUCUCAAUCCUGCGACCUCGGCCGCCACGCCCUCCCCCUUCACUAUCAAACCCCCACCCUUCCUAAAAACUACCCCUAGCGAUCCUGACACCACCACGCGCCCUCCCCUCUCUCCUUUCUGUUUCAUCUUUUCGAACAAAAAGACACUCGUUUUGUGUGCUGUUGUUUUGCUGUCAAUUCGUGAUCUCAUCUUCGACGUUUUUUUUUUGCUUGCUGCUCUAUCUUCAGCCUCUCCUUUCCCCUCCCCUCAUCCCUGGUGUCACCACCGCUUCCGCGUCCACCAUUCCGAUCGUCAUUUUUUAUCUCCCCUCCCCUUUCCUCCCUGCGUGUCCCGGUAGAGGUGCCUAUAUAUAUAUAUGCCGCAUAUGUACAAACUCGCGUCUUCCCAGCAAACGCCAUCAUCAGCAGGACUCUCUCUUUGCCCUCUUGACUUUAUCGAAGUGUCUGUACAUGGAUUUCGUAAGCUUUCGUACAUUUCUUCGGCUUGUUUAAUCACUGCCUUUGGCGUGAGCCAUCCUCAUGGGAGUGCCCGUCCUUCUUCCCCUUCUUUGCUUUGGGUCUUUGCGGCUUGUCUGUGUGUGCGCGCGCCUCUGACGCACCCCGAGGGGAUGGAGGGGCGCACCGUCGUUCCGCACAACGCGCCCGGUUCUCGCGCUCAGUGGAACUAUGUUUUCCGGCGUCUCCCUUUCUGACCAUCUUCCCAGCACCUACCCCUGCUUCACCUCGGCGUCGCACCGAGAUAAUGCAUCGACUCCUUCUCUCUUGUCUCGUCCGCAGCGUGUCCCUGUGGAGCGUGCCACUGCGCCGAUGGACAGCGCGAUGGUGGAGAGAGGCAGAGAGCUCGAUGGCAGCGACCGUGCAGAGAAACAGCACAAACAAGUGGCCACAUGGCGACUUCCACAAAGGUGGCUGGAAUGGAGGGAGAUAGGUGGAUCAGCCGGGCUGGUGCUUCUUUUCUUUGUCUGAGGCACCCUUGGAUCACCACGUGGAGUGGGGGAAGAUGCGAUUUGGCGACCGCAGGAGACGGGCGGAGGACAAGGCGCCGCACAAACAGAGAGAGGACGUGGUGGCAAAUGUCUAAGCACAACUGACGAUGCUUCACGUCUUUCUCGCCUCCUCUCCCGUUUAGCUCGUGUCGCCACGGCAUCCUCUUCACCUGCGCUCUGCCCUGCUUCGCUUUCGAGUCAGAUACGGCACUCUGUUGGUGUUUCUAUCCGGCGCACCACCAACCACGCGGGGCCUCCCUUCCCACUUCUCUUCUUUUUUUUUUAGUUGUUCUGCUCGCCGUUUCUGCAGGGAUUCGUCAGCUCCUCGGAUGUGGGUCUGAGUGUGUCUGUGCGCGCCUUGGAAGUGGCACAGCCACUGCGAUGGGCCGGAGCGGAGUCUGCGAGGUCAGUGGGCGUGCGCGUUGCUCCUCCCACUCCCCUUCCCUCUGGUCUCUCUCGCAAUCUUUGCAGGCGAAGUCAUCCCCGGUGGAGGAGUGGAAGGGCGCUGCCAUGAUCUCAACUACCCACUGGCAACCACUCACCAAGUAGCAUACAGAGGCGAGCGCAGGACACGGAUGAGCAGAUGAUCAGCGACGAAGCUCUCUCCACUAGCCCCCUUUUUUCUCCCUCAUCUAGGUUUUCCCGCUUAUCUCUCUGUUCCUUCCUGCACGUACCGCGGAUCUCCAGUUGACGGCGUUCGUGUGUGAAAGAGUCCGUGUGCGGAGGACUGGCCAUUGGCGGCUCUUCUCCUUCUCCGCUGACUCCUCGAUGAGCAUGCGCGUUUUCGGCUGUGGGUGCGGCACUGAGAUCAGCACCUUUUCCCCGUCACGCAGGGCGGAGUGGGCCCCUUUAUUUCUUCGUGCAAGUGUCGACGAUGAGCGCCAUCAUCGGCAAGCGCGGCCUGCAGUAGCCCUACAAAGAUCGGCGUCGGAUGGUGGCGCAUUCGCAUUAGCCCGCCCGCCGGGCCGUGACGCCACGGCUGCUGUGAUGUACAGCGUGCGAGGGAGCAAAUAUAUAUAUAUAUAAUUGGUCAGCCCAUGGCUUGUUCUGACUCCCUUUCUCUCCUCGCAGGCGCCCCUCGAACAUCGCUAGUGUCGCGCAGGCGCUCGAAUAAU